AGGAGUGUAGCUCAAUUGGCAGAGCGUCGGUCUCCAAAACCGAAGGCUGUGGGUUCGAUCCCCUCCACUCCUGCCA
rnacentral:tRNA from 2 species